ACUUUUGAUGUAAGUUUACUUCGUAUUCCCUGUUCCUUCCCAUUUCGUACUGUUCAUCGUUAUUUUUUAUUAUAUUAAGGUGUUAUUUGUUGACUGCAUGUAUGUACUAGAGAAUUUAUUUUAAAUCUUUUGAUUGCUAUGUUUGGUUGUUUAUUUCUCAUUUCAUUGGUUGUGUAUGAGAAGAAUUUGAUUUCCUUUUAACUACAUUGUGCCAUAGGAUGUUAUUUUCAUUUUCUUGUCUUUUUAUCUGAUCUCAGUUUAUUUCCCAACCAUUUAUAAGCAUAUAAGGGGAUUUUUCAGGUUUUUCGAGAGCAAGAGAAGUGUAUGAGGAAAUACCUCUUAGGUAAGUUUACUCUGUAUUUCCUGUUCUUUCCCAUAUCGCAUUGUUCAUUAUCUCUAUUGUAUUUUGGUAUUAAUUGUUGACUUGAUGUAUCCGUUAUAGAAUUCAUUUUGAAUAUGUUGAUUUCUAUAUUUGUUUGUGAGGUUGAUGUUGGGAUGUCUAUUUUUUUUUAUUUUUUUUUGGAAUGAGAAUAAAUUGAUUUUCUUCCAACUACAUUGUGUCUUUAGAGGUUAUUUUCCUAUUCUCAUCUCUACAUCUAAUCUCGGUUUCUUUCCCCACCAUUGGCAAGCAUAUAUGGGAAUUUUUCAGGCUUCUUAGGAGCAAGAGAAGGAAAUCGGGAAAUACUUCUCAUGUUUCUCGGAAGCAAGAGAAGUGUAUUGGGAAAUACUUCUUAAACAUAUAUGGGAGUUUUUUAGGCUUCUCAAGAGGAAGAGAAGGAAAUCGGGAAAUACUACUCAUGCAAGUGUAAUCCGUAUUCCUUGUUCUUUCCUGUUUCGCACUAUUCAUCAUUCUUCUUUGUUAUAUUAAUGUGUUAUUUGUUGACUGCAUGUAUGUACUAGAGAAUUUAUUUUUAAAUCUGUUGAUUGUUAUGUUAGUUUGUGAGUUUGAUGUUUGGUUGUUUGUUUGUCAUUUCAUUGGCUAUGUAUGAAAAGAAUUUGGUUCCUUUUAACUACAUUGUGCCAUAGGAUGUUAUUUUUAUUUUCUCAUCUUUUGAUAUGAUCUCGAUUUCUUUCCCCACCAUUUAUAAGCAUAUAAGGGGAUUUUUCAAGUUUCUCGGGAGCAAGAGAAGUGUAUAAGAAAAUGCCUCUUAGGCAUAGAUGGGAGUUUUUCAGGCUUCCCGGAAGCAAGAGAAGGAAAUCAGGAAAUACUUCUCAUGUUAUUUUCCUAUUCUCGUCUUUACAUUUAAUCUCGGCUCUUUCCCCACCAUCGGCAAGCAUAGAUGGUAAUUUUUCAGGUUUCCUAGGAGCAAAAGAAGUAAAUUGGGAAAUACUUCUCAUGUAAGUUUACUUCGUAUUUCCUCUUUCUCCCAUAUCUCAUUGUUUAUUAUCUAUGUUAUGUUUGGAUGUUAUUUGUUGACUAGAUGUAUGUGUUAUAUAAUUCAUUUUGAAUCCGUUGCUAUGUUUGUUUGUGAGCUUGAUGCUGGGAUGUCUAUUUUUUUUUUUUUUUAGUUUGGUCCGAGAAUAAAUUGAUCUCAUUCCAACUACAUUAUGUCUGAAGAUGUUAUUUUCCUAUUCUCUUCUUUACAUCUAAUCUCUAUUUCUUUCCCCACCAUCGUUAAGCAAAUAUGAGAGUUUUUCAGGUUUUCCGGAGAAAGAGAUGUAAGCUUGAAAAUACUUCUCAUGUAAGUUUCCUUGGUAUUCCAUGUUCUCUCUCAUUUUUGCACUAGUCAUCAUUCUUCUCUGUUAUGUUUUGGUGUUCUUUGUUGACUACAUGUAUGUACUAAAGAUUUUAUUUUAAAUCCGUUGAUUGCUAUGUUUGUUUGCAACCUUGUUGUUUGGUUGUUUAUUUCUCAUUUCUUUGGUUUUUCAUGAGUAUAAUUUGAUUUCCUUUUAAUUGCAUAUUGCCAUAGGAAGUUAUUUUCCUUUUCUCGUCUUUUCAUCUAAUCUCAGUUUCUUCCCCCACCCAUUUAUAAGCAUAUUAGGGGAUUUUUCAGGUUUCUCGGUAGCAAGAGAAGAAUUGUAUGAGAAAAUACUUUUUAGGUAAGUUUACUCCAUAUUCCCUAUUCUCUCUCGUAUCAUAUUGUUCAUUAUCUCGGUUAUGUUUAGGUAUUAUUUGUUAACUUGUUGUAUGCGUUAUAGAAUUAAUUUUUAAUGUGUUGAUUUCUAUGUUUGUUUAUGAGGUUGAUGUAGGGAUGUCUAUUUCUGUUUUUAUUUUUUUAUUUUUUCUAGUAUGAGAAUAAAUUUAUUUCCUUCCAACUACAUUGUUCCUGAAGAGUUUAUUUUCCUAUUCUCGUCUUUACAUCUAAUCUCGAUUUUCUUCCCCACCAUUAGUAAGCAAAUAUGGAAAUUUUUCGGGUUUCCUUAGAGCAAGAGAAGUAUAAAUCUUGAAAUACUUAUCAUCUAAAUUUACUCGGUAUUCUCUAUUCUCUCUCAUUUCACAUUGUUCAUCAUUCUUCUUUGUUAUGUUAUGGUGUUAUUUGUUGACUGCAUGUAUAUACUAGAGAAUUUAUUUUAAAUUUGUUGAUUGUUGUGUUUGUUUGUGAUCUUGAUGUUUGCUUGUUUAUUUUUCAUUUCUUUGGUUGUGUAUGAGAAUAAUUUGAUUUCCUUUUAAUUGCAUUAUGCCAUAGGAUGUUAUUUUCCUUUUCUCAUCUUUUCAUCUGAUCUUGGUUUCUUUUCCCUCUAUUUAUAAGCAUAUAAGGAUGUUUUUCAGGUUUCUCAGGAGCAAGAGAAUUGUAUUAGGAAAUACUUCUUAGGUAAGCUUACUCUGUAUUCCCUGUUUUCUCCCAUAUUGAAUUGUUUAUUAUCUCUAUUACGUUUGGGUAUUAUUUGUUGACUGGAUGUAUGUGUUAUAGAAUUCAUUUUGAAUUUGUUGAUUUCUAUGUUUGUUUCUGAGGUUGAUGCUGGGAUGUCUAUUUUUUUUUUUUUGGUAUGGGAAUAAAU